AAUCAACGCUGGCGGCGUGCCUCAGACAUGCAAGUCGAGCGCGAAAUUUCCCUUCGGGGAGAAAGUAGAGUGGCGCACGGGUGAGUAACACGUAGGUAAUCUACCUUUGGAUGGGGAAUAACACCGAGAAAUCGGUGCUAAUACCGCAUAAUGCAGCGGCACCUAAUGGUGACAGUUGUUAAAGCGGGGGAUCGCAAGACCUCGCGUCUAAAGAGGAGCCUGCGGCGGAUUAGCUAGUUGGUAAGGUAAUGGCUUACCAAGGCGACGAUCCGUAACCGGCCUGAGAGGGCGGUCGGUCACACUGACACUGACAUACGGGUCAGACUCCUACGGGAGGCAGCAGUCGGGAAUUUUGGGCAAUGGGCGAAAGCCUGACCCAGCAACGCCGCGUGAAGGAUGAAAUCCCUCGGGAUGUAAACUUCGCAAGAACGGGAAGAAUAAGCCGGUGUGAAUACCACCGGCGAUGACGGUACCGUUUGUAAGCUCCGGCUAACUCCGUGCCAGCAGCCGCGGU
rnacentral:rRNA from 1 species